GGGUACUUUGGCAUGUACAGAGGUGCUGCUGUGAACCUGACUCUGGUCACUCCAGAGAAGGCCAUCAAACUAGCUGCCAAUGACUUCUUUAGACAGCACCUGUCCAAGGAUGGUCAGAAGCUUAGCCUGCUGAGGGAGAUGCUGGCGGGUUGUGGUGCUGGU